rnacentral:rRNA from 1 species
GUAGUCAUAUGCUUGUCUCAAAGAUUAAGCCAUGCAUGUCUAAGUAUAAGCAAUUAUACCGCGAAACUGCGAAUGGCUCAUUAAAUCAGUUAUCGUUUAUUUGAUAGUACCUUACUACUUGGAUAACCGUGGUAAUUCUAGAGCUAAUACAUGCUAAAAAUCCCGACUCACGGAGGGAUGUAUUUAUUAGAUUAAAAACCAACGCCCUUCGGGGCUUCUUGGUGAUUCAUAAUAACUUCGCGAAUCGCAUGGCCUUGUGCCGGCGAUGGUUCAUUCAAAUUUCUGCCCUAUCAACUUUCGAUGGCAGGGUCUUGGCCUGCCAUGGUUACAACGGGUAACGGGGAAU